rnacentral:lncRNA from 1 species
UAUAAUCAAACAAGGUAGGUCAGAUGUUUUAUGGCCAGUUUUUACACAGAAAGGCAGAGGCAAAAUUAAGAGUAAUAUAUUUAGGUUUUAUGGUUGGCUUUGCGGAAAAGGGGUUCUGGUGUCUAUGACCCGCCUGGGGCAACAGGGAUUCUAGUUUCUAUGGCAACCCUCAAGGGAGAACAGGACUGAAAGGUGGGCAGGAGAAGGUCAAAGAAAAAGUUCUUCUAAGGCUGUUUCUGAGGCCUUCAUUUUAUGGUAUUGUUUUCUGAGUCCCAAGAGAAACAAUCCAAAUGUCCCUUAAUUAGGGACUAAAUGAAAACCAAAACCUAACUCUGGUGCACCUACACAGCAAGGCUGAACCUCAAAUUUAUUCAGUGGAAGCAGCCAGACUCAAAAGACUUUGCCUAUCAUGAAAAAAUCUUCCUGUGACUUCCUACAACUUUUGGGAUAAGGACCAAAGUAUUUCAAAUGACCUACAAGAUCCUCUAUCAUCUGGACUAUGGACUUACUUGCUCACUCCAGCUGUCCUAUGCUUUCUUCAGCGCCUCCAGUGUAGCCUGCUCUCUUUCACCUCAGGGCUAACUUCUAUUUUUUCUCCAGGUCGAAUGAUCUAAAUAUCACUUCCUCAGGGUGGAAGGAAAUCUUCUGGGACUAGCUAGUCAAGGUCUCUGUGCCCCUUGUCAUAUGUUCCACAUUACCUUGAAUGUCCCCUUUCAUAACUCAUCACACCUGAGAUUACCUAUUUGUUGUCAACUGUGCUGGACUGUGAACUCCACAAAGAUUCCACUUCUAGCUUACUCAGUGCUAUAUCCCCGAACCUCAGAAGAGUAUCUGCUACAGCAGUACUCCUUAUCUGUGGUUUCAGUCAGCUGUGGCACAGUACAAUAACAUAUUUUGAGAGAGAAACUACAUUCAUAUAACCUUUACCACAGUAUAUUAUUAAUAACUGUUCUAUUAUUAGUUAUUGUUAAUCUCUUACUGUGCCUAAUUUAUAAGUUAAACUUUAUCAUAGGUAUGUAUGUAGAGGAAAAAACAGUAUAUAUAGGGUUCGGUACUAUCUGUGGUUUCAGGUAGCCACUGGGCAUCUUAGAACAUAUACCCCAUGGAUACAGGGAGGACUACUGUAGUCUACUUGCUGAAAAAAUUAAUUGUGGCUUAGUCAGGCAUUUCGUUGAGUACGAUGGACCUUACUUUGGAACUCAGAAAUCACUUUCUCCUGUGAAAAUAUCAAACUUGAAUGAACUUUUGGAAUAAAAUACUUUGUAAAAUGG